AUUCUUCUAAACUCUCUUGAUUCUAAAAUGUUGAGCAACGAUCAUCAGUGAAGGAUGUCGCAAGUUCACUUAGCAGUAGUACUACCUCAGGCAGGCAGAGAUGUAACCGUCGGAUAUCAUACAGAUCCGGUGGCGGCUAUGGUAGAUGUGGUUCUGUUUCAAGAGAGAACGAGAAAAGAGAGAGGUCAUCCCUAGGGUUUUGUUGUUUCGGGACAAAAAUCAUGGUUGUUCUCUCCAACCUACCCGUUGUGGAUGCAAAAAUGGGUCAAGCAAAAGAAGCCCUAAUUACCCUUCACCGCCCGGAAGUUAAUCAUAAUCCAACGUCUAAGAAUCUUCUUUAUGCCGCAGCCAGAGAACUUUCUCGAAGGAUAAUGGGUGAAGAAGCUGGCGACGACACGAAGACCCAACAAAAGUUUUCUAAGGUUCAUCGGCCAGCCACAGCGACACUGAUGGCAGUUGACGGUUGAGGAUGGUGAUUGCGUUGCGAGAGUCACCCAGAGUGAUAACAAAUUAGGGCUUCGCAUCUCUGUUAAGGCUUUUUGUUGAUUCGAGCUUCACAGGUUUCGAUUAGAAUAUCUCAGUUAGGGGUUUUCAUCUCUAUUAGGGUUUAGAGCGUGUUGUUUAGUUGCAUUUUGUAGCAGAUCUAGGAUUCGCAAAUUUGUUAAGGCUUUGUGUCAUUUUUUAAUUUUCUCUGUGUUUUCUCCACUAUAGACCAAUGUUUGUUAGGAAGGAAAGAAUAGCAACGACAGAGCAUUCGGCAAUCACUGAAGAACCUGAGAUUGAUCUGUUUGAAAGGAGACAUGAAAAUCCGUUUUGUUUACCCAUAGGACCCAAAGGAAGCAAAUAUAUUUUGGAGAAGUUUGCAGGUCGAUGAGGAAACAAGGAAGGCCAUAGGGUUAAUCGAUCAACAAUACACAAAUCAGUUCUUUUGAAGCAUGUCUUGUCAUGAAACACCAUUUGGCAGAAACAGUUCAAAAGGCUUAUGGGUCCUGAUAAUGGUUUUGGCCAAAAGCUCAACUGAUGGAAUAUCUAUAUAAACUUGUAGUGGAUGCCCAUCACGGCAUGCUAGACUACAUGUAGUAGAUGCCUUGUUCGCUACAGGAUAACUUGAUGCCCUCAAAUUUUGCCUGUAGAGUUGAUGACAUUCGAUCAUAAAGGCAGUAAUUUUGAUACUAACUCAUGGUUUUGCGGUUUGCUUUUUGUUUGUUGGAGAAAAUUUGUUUCUACACUCGGGUAGCCGGAUUUUAACCUCUAAUUGUCUUAAGGGCAAUGCAGGAAAGUUCACCUCUAAUUGACCAUCUCCUACAAUCAACUCAGCCACAAGAUAGCAGUUCUCAGACAAGGCAGAGGCGACAGAUUCUUCUAGAAGGCUUGGAGGCAGCCCUUCAGCUAUUCAUUUGUUACUAUAGUGUAUGAGGACAAUGAAGGAGACAUGAUGCUUGUUGUUGGGGAUGUCCCGUGGCGGUGCCAAAGAAUCAAGACGAACUUCAAAUUCGAGUACAAUUUUCUGAAGAUACACUAAUUUUGCAAAUGCAGAAGAAUUUGAUGACAUGGCUGCUAAAGUAAACUCUUUUCCGUUUAGAUUUAUGCUGGUGUUGUCCAACGUUUAAAAGAACGGAAAUGAGUUUUGAGGCGUUUUCCCUUCGCCUCACGAGGCGUACGCCUCGAGGCAAAACGAGGCGUAAGGCCGAGGCGGUAUUAAUAAAUAAAUAUAAAAUUAUAUAUAUAUAUAUAUAUAUAUUAUAAAAAUAAUAAUACUAACUAAUUUCAUCAUCAGAUUCAUCAAAAACACACUUAAAAAAGACAUGAAAUGCUUGAAAUUGACACAAAAAGUCAAAACAUCAAAAACAACUAUCAAAAUCCCCUGAGGCCUCAGACUCGUUUUUUGGCCAUUUCGCCUCGAGGCGCACGCCUCAAACGUUUUUUAAAACCAUGAUGUUGUCUUCAGCAAUUAGAUGUCACUGGCUUUCGAUUUGAAUGUGUGUAUCAUACUCAUACCAAUAAUGAUAACGCCUUAAAGGAUUAAAUUAUGCCCCCUUAUCUUGGUAGGUAAAUAUUUGAGUUUAUUGUCGUGA